rnacentral:sRNA from 1 species
ACCAUGGUGGCCACCACCUGGUUCCCCAAGCAGAUGGUCCUGGAGCUCUCCGAGAAUCUGAAGAGACUGAUCAAGCACAGGCCUUGCACCUGCACCCACUGCAUUGGGCAGCGCAAGCUCUCGGCCUGGUUCGAUGAGAGGUUCAACCAGACCGUGCAGCCGCUGCUGACCGCCCAGAACGCGCUCUUGGAGGACGACACCUACCGAUGGUGGCUGAGGCUCCAGCGGGAGAAGAAGCCCAAUAACUUGAAUGACACCAUCAAGGAGCUGUUCAGAGUGGUGCCUGGGAAUGUGGACCCCAUGCUGGAGAAGAGGUCGGUGGGCUGCCGGCGCUGCGCCGUUGUGGGCAACUCGGGCAACCUGAGGGAGUCUUCUUAUGGGCCUGAGAUAGACAGUCACGACUUUGUCCUCAGGUGAGUGCCAGACCCUCUCCCAAGCCUACCGUGCUGCACCCAGGGGCCCCUUGGAGCUGUAGGAAGCAUCUUGGCUCAGGCUCAGGAAGGCAAGGUUCAGUCCUGGGACUGAACUUACCCAGGGACCCCAGGCUCCACACUGCACCCCCUGGGCCUCAGCUUCCCCAUCUCUGCAUCAUUGCAGGAUUGGAAUGGACUAGAAGGGCCUGUGCGUGCAGAGAGGAAGCCAUACACGGGAGGUCCCCCGUUGUU